rnacentral:rRNA from 1 species
UACGAAGGGUGCGAGCGUUAAUCGGAAUUACUGGGCGUAAAGCGCGCGUAGGCGGCUUUGUAAGUUAGAGGUGAAAGCCCGGGGCUCAACUCCGGAACUGCCUUUAAGACUGCAUCGCUAGAAUCCGGGAGAGGUGAGUGGAAUUCCGAGUGUAGAGGUGAAAUGCGUAGAUAUGCGGAGGAACACCGAUGGCGAAGGCAAUCCCCUGGGCCUGCACUGACGCUCAUGCACGAAAGCGUGGGGAGCAAACAGG